rnacentral:tRNA from 1 species
GCCGAGGUGGCAGAAUGGCAAUGCGCUAGCCUUGAGAGCUAGUUCCCGCAAGGGAUUGCGAGUUCGACUCUCGUCCUCGGCG